GGGGGGAAAGACGAGAUUUACUAUGGCUGGGAACACAAUCUGGGACGCUGCCAAAAGCCUAGAAUGAGCCAGUGAAGGAGGCAGCACCAGGAUGUCGCUGUACGGGGAGAGUGCCAGGUCCCCGCUGGAACAUGUGUGGAGACAGUUUGUGCCACAGGGUUAUGACCAGGCCCUGCGCAACGCCUUCUAUAAUGUGGCCGCCAUCGUGUUUGUGGGCUGUGUGGCAGCUGCUGCCUGGUCUGUGUACAUGAUCUUCCAGCCCUUUGUUCAGCCAUUGCUGUGGGCGGUGCUGUGUGGGUCGCUGCUUCACCCUGCCAAGCACACCGUCACCAAGUGGACGCGUGAUUGGCUUGCAGAGGUCCAGACUUCCCAUGGCUUGGUGUCUGUGGCAGUUGCCUUCCUUCCCCUCCGACUGGUGGACACUGUGUCGGAGAUAGUGGGCAGGUUUGUGGUGGCCCACGUUAAGAGCGUGGUGACGGUGACUGUCAUCCUGCCGCUACUGUAUAUUGUGAUCCAUCAUACCCCAACCGUCCUCUCCAGCCUGGCCUACAGCAUACUGUCCUGUCUGAUUGCUAUCACCACCACUGUUGUCACCGUCAUCACCACCAAUGGAUACAUAUCCCUCACAUUGGUCACUGGUUACCUGGUGGCUGUGGUCUUCUUCUGGACGGACAAGUCAUCUCAUGUCCUGGGUCGCUUCAGUGUGCCUGUGUGGCUGGUAGCAGCAGCAGGCUUGGCAGGGAUGUGGCCAACAGGCAGUGUGGUGCUGUUCCUGGUGAUGUGUGCACUGCUGCUUGCUGGCCUGUGUACUGAGGUGCUGGACGUCCAGGCACACCUCAGGGACCAGAAGGAGGAGGAUGUGUCCUUAGUGGAGGCCAUGUUGGCAGUGUGUCGUGGUGAUGUGGAGAAAGAUCAACAGCAGAAGCAGCAGGAGCUUGAGGGCACACCUGCUGUCAGAAUAGUGGAUGAGGAUGAGGAUGAGGAUGAGAGCCAAUCCCACACCUUGUCUCCUGUGGCAGAGGAAGAGGAGGGAGGAGAGGGACGCUCUAACACCUCCACCCCUCCUGAUGCCAUCCCUGCUAGCCCCAAGUCCCCUGCAGGAAUCCCUGAAUCCAAAAAAGAAGUAGAGGAGAUCCAGGAAAAAGGAAAGGAUAUCAGUGGCCCAACCCCAAGCACAGACACACCCCGGCCCAAGGUGCUGCUGAGUGCUGGGGUCCACACCAUGCCCCAGACCCAGAGCCAAGUGGAGGAGAAUGGCAGCAACAUAUACCUUAAAGGUGUGUUUGUUGGGUGCAUCUUAGUAGAGCUGUGGAGACACAACUACCUGCUGCCGCUGCUGCCCACUGCCAUGAUUUACUAUGGCAUCAAGAAGCUUGCCUCCCGAUAUCUGAUGUGGAGUGCAAAAAAUGGCAGCGUGGUGGCCAACAUGAUGUGUGCAGUGAGGAGCAAGGUGGGCUCCUUCCUGGGUCCUCGGCGCCCUGCUCUGUUGCCUGCACCUAUCAGAGGGGUGGCUAAGCUGCUGAUGCGUACAGACAAUCAAGUAGUGGUGAUGCUGGUGGCUGCUGUGGAUGCCCUUGUCACCCUCUUUGUCAUUCUCACUGUCAUCUUCUUUGCAGUGACAGCCUCCAUCUACCUCGCUGUGCAGAUCCAGGGGGAGAGCAUGGCACUGAUUAGCCUGGGCAGUCAGGUGAUCAACUCGACAGUGGUGAACAACCCUCAGUUCCUGGCACUGCUGCCGGAAGGCUUGGGUGAGGUGGUGACAUCAGCGCUGGAUGAGGGUUACCUGUACGGCCGGCAGUGGAUUGCUACCAUGGUGCGAGGAAUGUUGGGAGAGACUGAUGAUGUGAAGGCUGAACAGCUGGAGAAACAGGUGGUGGAGCUGUGGGACCGAGUGUACCAGGCUUGGGUGGUGGCACAUCCCCAGGCUGUGUCACCCGGCCCAGUGGUCACCUCGGAGGCUGUGGCAAUGAGCUUCGACUCGCUGAUGGAGGGACUUAAGCACUCCCCAGGGGUUAGUCUGUCCCUGGUGAGUGAAGUGGUGGGGGACAACUUGGGCACUGUCAUGAGUGUGCUGGAGUCAGUGUGGGGCCUCCUGCUGGGGAACCUCAGUCUGGCCAUCUCUGCCCUCACUGCUGUCGCCUCGCUGCUGCUUGGAGGAUCUCUCUCUAUUCUUAACGCUCUCAUUAGUGUGGUCGUGUUCAUGUCAUCGCUGUUCUACGUGCUGAGCGCCAGUGGGUCAGUCUACAAGCCUGUUGCUGUGAUAGUCAACUUGGCGCCUGGCCAGAUGACCCACCUGGGCAAAGCAGUGGAGGACGCGGUGAAUGGAGUGUUCAUUGCCUCGCUCAAGAUGGGAGCAUUUUACGGCAUGUGGACGUGGCUGCUGCACUCCCUCUUCAGUGUCAACAUUGUCUACAUCCCUUCUGUGUUGGGAGCAGUGUUUGGUGCUGUGCCUCUGGUGGGGACAUACUGGGCUGCCUUUCCUGGUGCUCUUGAACUCUUC
rnacentral:misc_RNA from 1 species